rnacentral:miRNA from 1 species
GAGAGAAGAUGAGGGGAGGAUGGGAUGAAUGAGUAACAAAAGUGAACACAAAAACUAAAAACUGAAAUAUAUCUGAAAUUGUUUUCACUUUUGUUACUCAUCCCUCUCAUCAUCCUCUCUCUCUCUCUCU